rnacentral:rRNA from 1 species
GAUAAACGCUAGCGGCAGGCCUAACACAUGCAAGUCGAGGGGCAGCGGAUGGAGUGCUUCGGUACUCCUGCCGGCGACCGGCGGACGGGUGCGUAACGCGUAUGCAACCUGCCUUCAACAGGGGGAUAAUCCGAAGAAAUUUGGUCUAAUACCCCAUAAUAUGGGCGCUCCGCAUGGAGAGUUCAUUAAAGAGAGCAAUUUUGGUUACAGACGAGCAUGCGCUCCAUUAGCCAGUUGGCGGGGUAACGGCCCACCAAGGCGACGAUGGAUAGGGGUUCUGAGAGGAAGGUCCCCCACAUUGGAACUGAGACACGGUCCAG